rnacentral:rRNA from 1 species
CCUACGGGAGGCAGCAGUGGGGGAUAUUGCACAAUGGGGGGAACCCUGAUGCAGCGACGCCGCGUGGGUGAAGGAGCGUUUAGGCGCGUAAAGCCCUAUCGGCAGGGAAGAAGAUGACGGUACCUGACCAAGAAGCCCCGGCUAACUACGUGCCAGCAGCCGCGGUAAUACGUAGGGGGGAAGCGUUAUCCGGAUUGACUGGGUGGAAAGGGGGCGCAGACGGCAAUGCAAGCCAGGGGUGAAAGCCCGGGGCCCAACCCCGGGACUGCCCUUGGAACUGCAUGGCUGGAGUACAGGAGGGGCAGGCGGAAUUCCUGGUGUAGCGGUGAAAUGCGUAGAUAUUAGGAGGAACACCGGUGGCGAAGGCGGCCUGCUGGACUGUGACUGACGUUGAGGCCCGAAGGCGUGGGGAGCAAACAGGAUUAGAUACCCCAGUAGUC